CCAUAGAGAUAUAUACUUAAUAACACUAGAGGGCGUACUCGCUCAAAUUGCUGUGUUGACCUGGAGCGGUGGCCGCCAUUACUAAGGAGGGCAGAAAAACGAACGACCCAACAAGAUACUGUGCACAACAUACGUGGAAAAAUUUGGAGAAGCCAGGUUCGUGCGAUGCAUUUGGAUGUUCGAACCGAAGAAAGAAAGGGAACUGCCUAAUAGUUCACAAGAAUACACCCAAGAGAGGAAAGGAUGUUACACACCACAUCUCCUUCCUAGAGCUGUGCCUACUGUCUUUCCUGGACGUCCUCCCUAUAAACAGACCCAUGGCUCCAGACUCCCAGCAAAACCAUGUACAACAUCCGAAAGUGUUCCUGUGCCUCCAAAGAAACCCUAUGACUCCAAAGAAACCCUAUGACAUUACAAAAGAACAUGACUAUUCUUUUUCUGUCUGAGUUGAUUAGAAACUGAAUAUAACCAGACAGCAAGUGCAGGAUGCCAAGAAAAAAAAAAGUGGUGAAACAAGGUAAACAGGAAAGGUGGAAAAACCAGGACUCUCUUGCAGGAAGUCCACGAAAGCAAGCUCAUUAGCCAGGAUCAGCUUGACCUACUUCAACACAACUUUGGAGAGAACGCAUUUUCAGGAAAAAAAA